GGCAGUCGUAGCUCAUUGGUUAAGAUGUUGGACUACUGAUCAGAAGAUCAUGAGUUGAAAUCCGAGCACUGCCA